rnacentral:rRNA from 1 species
AUACGUAGGGGGCGAGCGUUGUCCGGAAUGAUUGGGCGUAAAGGGCGCGUAGGCGGCCGCUUAAGUCUGGAGUGCAAGUCCUGUUUUCAAGAUGGGAAUUGCUUUGGAUACUGGGGGGCUUGAGUGCAGGAGAGGUUAUCGGAAUUCCCGGCGUAGCGGUGAAAUGCGUAGAGAUCGGGAGGAACACCAGUGGCGAAGGCGGGUAACUGGACUGCAACUGACGCUGAGGCGCGAAAGUGUGGGGAGCAAACAGGAUUAGAUACCCUGGUAGUCCACACUGUAAACGAUGAAUGCUAGGUGUAAGAGGUAUCGACCCCUUUUGUGCCGGAGUCAACACAAUAAGCAUUCCGCCUGGGGAGUACGGCCGCAAGGUUGAAACUCAAAUGAAUUGGCGGGG